UAAACACUUCUUCCACGAAAAGAUAGCUUAAACUGUGCUCUAAACGGAGGUGUAGUCAAAUGCUAUUUCUAAAAUAAAGGUAAGCUACUAUAAAUUGGCAUGAACUUUCCGGACAAUCCAAUAUUGCUGGUGUAAAUGUAAUGGAAAUAUUAUGCUAAUAUUUUGCUCUUGGCACUUGUCUAUGAAUUCUUAAGCUGUUGAUAUCACUGUACUGAAUGGUAUAGCCCAGCUGUUGAAACCAUAAUGAUACCCAUUUGGUAGAUGAUGAUGAGAAUAUGUGUUUGAUAUACUUGUUGUCUGUGAAUGGUUUAUAUAUUUUGGAUUCUUCUUAUUCUGAGUUAUUCUUUAUUCUUGAAUGGUUGAACUUGUGAAAGGAUGCAACGAUUAUGAAGA